rnacentral:lncRNA from 1 species
CGGAUACCAAGGAUAAUGGAAUAUAUGCUCAGAAGGCCUUCCAUACACCCACCCCCUUCCCCGCACCUGCUCGCAACCUCUGGUUACGCGUGGGGCGUGUGCGCGCCGCCACGGACCGGGAAUGCGCGCGUGCGGAGCAGAGUGAGCGAGAAAGUGGGAGAGGGGAGGAGUGCAGAGAGUCCAUCCGAGUGACAGAGAGAGAGAGAGAGAGACUGCAUCGCGCUGACGGGAGACGGCAAACUCGGAUUCAGGUCUCCGGUAGCGGAGGCGGAUUGUUGUUCUGAUGCCUCUGCGGAGCUGACGGUGCCAGGGAGCCGCAGCGGGGAGAGGAGCGGCGCAGCAGCGCGGGUAAGCGCACCUUCUCCACUUUGUGCCGUUGAGGAUGCCGUCGCAGUGACGCAGCGGGUGGUGUCCCGGCAGCGGCGCGGCCGGUGUCGGGGUGAUGGAGAGGACGGAGGACGUGGGAAAAAAAAGAAAGAAAUGACAGCGGGACAGGAGCGCUGCGGCUCCGCUGUACGGGACGCGCUCGCCCCGUGUCUCUGCAGUGUUUCCUGCGGGCGCCCGGUGCACACGGACCCCCCCGCCCCUGUCUCUCUCUGCGCAUCCUCUGGAUGAUGCUGCGGUUUUGUGGGGAUUUGUGCUGCUCUGCGCAAAUCGCGAAUAACGGCACCAAAGUACAUCUGCAGCCGCCAGUGUGUGUGUGUGUGUGUGUGUGUGUGGUGUGAUGUGUGAGGAGACGUGUCAUUGCAGAGGACGAGAGGUUUUCGGGCUGUGAAGUUGGGAUUGUUCGGUUUAGGCCCCGGGGCUGCAGGCAUGGGCUGAGUCAGGUCGGAGGAUCAGGGCACAUCUGACUGAGGAGGGAGGCGUCGAGUGGUCACGGUCAGUUACAUCAUCAUCAUCCCCAUCAUCAUCAUCAUCACCAUCAUCAGUGGAUGACACACGUCCCACAACAGCCCUCCUCACAAAAGCUUAGCGACGUCAUUCUGAAGGGGUCUACAAUUUGUUUCUGCGGUUUCAAGGCGAGGGAGUUGUCUCUGGACUGGAGGGACCAGAUGUACAAACGCCGCGGGAGAUGGAGAGGGGAGCGGCGCGGUGAGGAAAGCCAGAUGGAAGGUCACGGCUCUGCUCGGUCGAUGCGCACCUGACGGCGUCUGAGCCGCGGCGUCGCCCCGGGCCGCUCCUCAGCCGCGUAGCUGCUCCGCGUCAGAUCCCAACACGCUGGGCAGAUCGCCCGACGGGGUAGAGGCUUCUCUCCAGACCGAUGUUAUUAGGAGAAGUAAAGC